rnacentral:rRNA from 1 species
AGUGAACGCUGGCGGCAGGCCUAACACAUGCAAGUCGAGCGGCAGCACGGCAAUAGCAAUAUUGUGGGUGGCGAGCGGCGGACGGGUGAGGAAUGCAUCGGGAUCUACCCUGUCGUGGGGGACAACGUAGGGAAACUUACGCUAAUACCGCAUGAUCUGGAGACAGCAAAGCCGGGGACCCGCGAGGGCCUGGCGCGAUGGGAUGAGCCGAUGUCCGAUUAGCUAGUUGGCGGGGUAAAGGCCCACCAAGGCGACGAUCGGUAGCUGGUCUGAGAGGACGACCAGCCACACUGGAACUGAGACACGGUCCAGACUCCUACGGGAGGCAGCAGUGGGGAAUAUUGGACAAUGGGGGCGAACCCUGAUCCAGCCAUGCCGCGU